rnacentral:lncRNA from 1 species
GAGAGUAGAUAAAUAGGUACCACCUCGAUGGGAAGGUAACAGUGUUCCAUGUCUAGUUGCACUGGCCAUGUAACCAUGGAAACUGUCUUUGGACAAAUGCUUGUCCAAAGUUCUAUGUUCUAUGGCUUGGAAACGGGGAUGAGCACUGCACCCUAGAGUCAGGCAUGACUGGAAUAAAUGUCAAGGGGAACACCCACAGAAACAUAGAGGCACACCCAUCUUCCUCAAGCCACUUUUUUUACCUGACCAGCUGCAGUAGGCAUAGCUAUUGUUGAUGAAGAACGGUUGCCCAGACUGACUAACUGCGAUCAAAUAUUCCCCCACUCCCAAGAAUGCCCUUGCAUUAUAUCAAAGCAUCCUGAACAGAGAUACUGUUGAGGUGGAGACUUGCUAGAUCACGUAUGGAAAACAGUUGUCAGCAGCAGAAAGGCCCUUUUGAAAAGACAAAAGGGAGG